rnacentral:rRNA from 1 species
CCUACGGGAGGCAGCAGUAGGGAAUCUUCCGCAAUGGACGAAAGUCUGACGGAGCAACGCCGCGUGAACGAUGAAGGCCUUCGGGUCGUAAAGUUCUGUUGUUAGGGAAGAACAAGUGCUAGUUAAAUAAGCUGGCACCUUGACGGUACCUAACCAGAAAGCCACGGCUAACUACGUGCCAGCAGCCGCGGUAAUACGUAGGUGGCAAGCGUUGUCCGGAAUUAUUGGGCGUAAAGCGCGCGCAGGCGGUUUCUUAAGUCUGAUGUGAAAGCCCCCGGCUCAACCGGGGAGGGUCAUUGGAAACUGGGAAACUUGAGUGCAGAAGAGGAAAGUGGAAUUCCAAGUGUAGCGGUGAAAUGCGUAGAGAUUUGGAGGAACACCAGUGGCGAAGGCGACUUUCUGGUCUGUAACUGACGCUGAGGCGCGAAAGCGUGGGGAGCAAACAGGAUUAGAUACCCUGGUAGUCCACGCUGUAAACGAUGAGUGCUAAGUGUUAGAGGGUUUUCCGCCCUUUAGUGCUGAAGUUAACGCAUUAAGCACUCCGCCUGGGGAUACGGUCGCAAGCUGAAACUCAAAUGAAUUGACGGCUGAGACCGNGCGACGACGACGACGAGGGAGAGG